rnacentral:lncRNA from 1 species
CUCAUAAGAAAAUCAAGGAAGAACAAAUCUAUAUGAUUGUAUGCCUUCUGAAAAUUUUCCUUAAAGAUCAAUCCCGAGAAGACGCUUCUCUUCCUAGAGUCUAACUUCAUUAGCUAUAAGUGAGUAGUUAAAGAUUUGAUACACUUUAAUAAAAUCGAAUUGAUUUUUACCAAAAAUCUCUUCCAUGUGCCUGGAUAAUCUAGCAUCCAUAACCUUUGCUACUAUUUUAUAGAUAACCCCUUGAAAACUGUUAUUUUCUUCUUCAAUAUCCAUUAUUUAAAUAUAGCUCAAAGCACAAUUUUUGAUCAAGGAUUUCCUUUGAUACUGUAAAGCCCAAAUUUAGCCCGGGCCCAAUAUGGCCCCAAAGCCUAAAUAAAAUAAACCCACUCCUUUUACAAACCUAACCUACACCUAACAGCCCAACUAAAAACCUAAAGCCUAAACGGCCCAACCCUUAAAAUGUUUCAGAAACCCUAAACUCUCCUAAACCCGAGUGCUGUCGCCCUAGCCUGUCCCUAGCCUCUGCCGUCGCCUGUCACCACCACCUAUGCCUAUCACCGGCCAUCCUCGCGUUUGACACCUGCAAAACGAAGCCACACGCAACAGCAGAAAAGCCAAAUAGUAAAGAGACAAAAAAUAGAAACAAACGGUCUUGUAAUUCGGUUAUAAAAAAGCCACAGCAUCUCUUUGUAAUUUUUUACACACAUUAUUAAAUCGGAAAGCAGAAACUGAAAUUUUAAGGUUGAGAUUCACUGUUUUCUUUUCGUAUUUUGUUUACCUUUAUUUAUUUUUUUGUGACUCAUUUUAAAAUAAUCAGCAAGGAAAAUAGAAGUGAAAAACGCACUUGAAUAGGCUCUUUGACCCGCCGUCGAUGGUCCGUUGCCGUCGGCGGAUUCAGGCUCAGGGGAGGGCAAAAAACCUUUUCUUUCCUUCGGCUCUCCGUCCCGAAGUUCUAGCCGUUGAACGCGCUUCAUAGCGCUGGUCAGAAACGACUUCGCGCAGCGCCAACCACUGGAUACGGAGGCGCUAUGGCGGCGGCACGGUCCACUGAUCGAAGAGGGUGAGGGGAGAUGAGAGAAAAGAGGAGUUUAAGUUUUCUUUUUUUUUUGACAGAAAUGAGGGUUUUUGUAAAAAAAAAAUUGUGAUUUUAUAGUGUAAUAAAACAACGCCGUUUCAACAGGCCUCCCCAGGCGCCAGAACGGCAUCGUUUUAGGGAGGCCGACCCGCGACCUGACCAGCUUGGGGGGAGAUCCGCGUGUUUUCUGAAAGUGGGAAAAUAUCCAUUUCAGUCCUUCCGCCUUUUCUGUUUUAUUAUUUUGGUUCCAUUUUGUUUUUUUUUCUUCUUUUAAAUUUGCCCCACGAUUUUAUUUGUGUGUCAUUGUGGCCCUCCGAUAAAAUGUUGCGCAAGGUGCCUGGAACAUUUGCUCUUUCGCUCCCUGAUAUUUUCAGUACGUUGCGAAUUAGUCCUUUAUGCCUUUUUGCAAUUUCUGAUUAUGCCCCUUUAAUUUCAUUUUGAUUUCAAUCACGCCCUUGACCUUUUAUCCCCAAUUUUUUUAUAUAUAUUUUUUCUCUAAAUUGUAUUAGUAUUUUUUUUGUUGUCGUUAUUUAGGAUUUUCUUUUAUGUAUUAUUUACUUUUAAGCUGUUUUAGAUUUAUUAUUAUUUAUUUCAAGUUUUUAUAUAUGUUAUUCAUUUCGAAUAUAUGUAUACCAUUUUAAAUUUAUAUGUACUAUGUAAUUUAAAUUGUUUAUUUCAAAACUGUUUUAUUUUUUGUUUAUUUUAAGUUUCUAUACAUUAAGUACUUGAUAUAUUAUUUUAUUUUUUGUUUAUUUUUGUUUAUUUCUU